rnacentral:rRNA from 1 species
UACAGAGGGGGCAAGCGUUAUUCGGAAUUAUUGGGCGUAAAGGGCGCGUAGGCGGCCUGGCAAGUGGAAGGUGAAAUCCCUCGGCUUAACCGAGGAACUGCCCUCCAAACUGCUUGGCUUGAGUCCGGGAGAGGUGAGUGGAAUUCCCAGUGUAGCGGUGAAAUGCGUAGAUAUUGGGAGGAACACCAGUGGCGAAGGCGGCUCACUGGACCGGAACUGACGCUGAGGAGCGAAAGCGUGGGGAGCAAACAGG